rnacentral:rRNA from 1 species
AGCGAACGUUUGCGGCGGGCUUAACACAUGCAAGUCGAACGAGAAUCCCUUCGGGGAGGAAAGUGGCGCACGGGUGCGUAACACGUGGAUAACCAACCCAUUGGUUUGGGACAACACCGGGAAACUGGUGCUAAUACUAGAUGUGUCGCAGCUGUCUUCAGGCGGUUGCGAGAAAGGCCCGCAAGGGUCGCCAACGGACGGGUCCGCGUCCCAUCAGCUAGUUGGUGAGGUAAUGGCUCACCAAGGCAAAGACGGGUAGCUGGUCUGAGAGGAUGAUCAGCCACACUGGAACUGAGACACGGUCCAGACUCCUACGGGAGGCAGCAGUGGGGAAUAUUGCGCAAUGGGCGAAAGCCUGACGCAGCCACGCCGCGUGAGCGAUGAAGGUCUUCGGAUCGUAAAGCUCUGUGGGGGGAGAAGAAGAAAGCCGGUGAAGAGCCGGCCCUGACGGUAUCCCCUUAGCAAGCACCGGCUAACUCCGUGCCAGCAGCCGCCGGUAAAGU